rfam:Octopus bimaculoides Scaffold2425_contig_61, whole genome shotgun sequence.
UCCUCGGUAGUAUAGUGGUAAGCAUCCCCUCCUGUCGUGCGGGAGACCGAGGUUCGAUUCCCCGCUGGGGAG